UACGAGGGGAGCAAGCGUUGUUCGGAUUUACUGGGCGUAAAGGGCGCGUAGGCGGUCGUGACAAGUCACUUGUGAAAUCUCCGGGCUUAACUCGGAACGGUCAAGUGAUACUGUCGGACUAGAGUACAGAAGGGGCAACUGGAAUUCUCGGUGUAGCGGUGAAAUGCGUAGAUAUCGAGAGGAACACCGGUGGCGAAGGCGGGUCUCUGGGCCGAUACUGACGCUGAGGAGCGAAAGCGUGGGGAGCGAACAGG
rnacentral:rRNA from 1 species